GGAUUCCCCUAGUAGCGGCGAGCGAAGCGGGAAGAGCUCAAAUUUGUAAUCUGGCACUUUCAGUGUCCGAGUUGUAAUCUCGAGAAGUGUUUUCCGCGCUGGACCGCAUACAAGUCUGUUGGAAUACAGCGUCAUAGUGGUGAGAACCCCGUACAUGAUGCGGAUGCCCAGUGCUUUGUGAUACACUUUCGAAGAGUCGAGUUGUUUGGGAAUGCAGCUCAAAUUGGGUGGUAAAUUCCAUCUAAAGCUAAAUAUUGGCGAGAGACCGAUAGCGAACAAGUACCGUGAGGGAAAGAUGAAAAGCACUUUGGAAAGAGAGUUAACAGUACGUGAAAUUGUUGGAAGGGAAACGCUUGAAGUCAGACUUGCGUAUUGGAGUUCAGCCGCAAGGUGUAUUCUUCAGUUUGCAGGCCAGCAUCAGUUUUCGGGGGUGCAAAAGGGUGAGAGGAAGGUAGCAACUCCGGUUGUGUUAUAGCCUCUCACUGGAUGCAUCCUUGGGGACUGAGGAACGCAGUGUACUUUUUGCAAGUCUCUCGAGACUUUCUACACUUAGGAUGCUGGUGGAAUGGCUUUAAACGACCCGUCUUGAAACACGGACCAAGGAGUCUAACAUGCUUGCGAGUAUUUGGGUGUCAAACCCGGAUGCGCAAUGAAAGUGAAUGGAGGUGGGAACCGCAAGGUGCACCAUCGACCGAUCUGGAUUUUCUAAGAUGGAUUUGAGUAAGAGCACGUAUGUUGGGACCCGAAAGAUGGUGAACUAUGCCUGAAUAGGGCGAAGCCAGAGGAAACUCUGGUGGAGGCUCGUAGCGGUUCUGACGUGCAAAUCGAUCGUCAAAUUUGGGUAUAGGGGCGAAAGACUAAUCGAACCAUCUAGUAGCUGGUUCCUGCCGAAGUUUCCCUCAGGAUAGCAGAAACUCAUUAUCAGUUCUAUGAGGUAAAGCGAAUGAUUAGAGGCCUUGGGGUUGAAACAACCUUAACCUAUUCUCAAACUUUAAAUAUGUAGGAAGUCCUUGCUACUUAAUUGAGCGAGGAC
rnacentral:rRNA from 1 species